AUGCUGCCGUGGCCGGGGGUGACUCACGGCGGCCCGCGGCUGCCGCUGAUUAGCGGAUCAGAGAGCCGAGUGGGAAGCGGGCACGGCACGGCCGCUCCUUCCCCGGGCACCGCGGGUCGGGUCGGGCCGCCCCGAGUCAAACAUCCUUCCCCUCCCAGCCCCCCUCAGCUCCUGCACGAUGUAUUUUUAUUCCUUCGGAAUAAACCGACGGCUUUGUCGGAGCACAAAUUCACCCUUCCAACAGCGAAAAAGCCUCCCUCAGUCCCUUCCUUGCCGCGUGACAGCCCCGACGGCACCACGGUGUGCAGCCCGCAGCGCUCCGACGGCGCCCGCCUCAACCAAAGCAUUUGGAAAGUGACAGAGCCUGAAGAAAAAGGGAAUUCAAAAUCUGGCUCUCCAGUUUUCUCCUGGACCUAUCUGGUCUUCUGUAUCCAUGGACAAGUGGGCUGCUGCAGGAGUGGUGUACAAGCCCCACCAUUAGCCAGUCUCUCUGUACUAUGCAGCAACUUCUGCUAAGUUCCUAGAAGGUUUUCAUUCAGUUGAGUAAUCUCGCAGUAGUGUGGAGGACAUUGAAAAGAUGCACAGUUUUCCACAUUGUUUCUGCUUCUUGGUAUGUACAAGUGGGGAGUGUGCAUAAUCCUUGGUUAAUGAUGUGUAUUUAUACAUUUGUUAAUAAUUAUGCGUUAGAUCUUAUGGUCUGCAGCAGUAGAGUAUUGAAAG
rnacentral:lncRNA from 1 species